ACUCCUACGGGAGGCAGCAGUGGGGAAUCUUGCGCAAUGGGCGAAAGCCUGACGCAGCAACGCCGCGUGUGUGAUGAAGGUCUUCGGAUCGUAAAGCACUGUCGCGAGGGAAGAUACGCCAUCCGCUAACAUCGGGUGGCUGAGACGGUACCUCUAGAGGAAGCACCGGCUAACUCUGUGCCAGCAGCCGCGGUAAU
rnacentral:rRNA from 1 species